GACGGAGGAUGCAAGCGUUAUCCGGAAUGAUUGGGCGUAAAGCGUCCGCAGGCGGCUGUUCAAGUCUGCUGUCAAAGACCGGGGCUUAACUUCGGAAAGGCAGUGGAAACUGAACAGCUAGAGUAUGGUAGGGGCAGAGGGAAUUCCUGGUGUAGCGGUGAAAUGCGUAGAGAUCAGGAAGAACAUCGGUGGCGAAGGCGCUCUGCUGGACCAUAACUGACACUCAGGGACGAAAGCUAGGGGAGCGAAUGGG
rnacentral:rRNA from 1 species